rnacentral:rRNA from 1 species
CCCUUAGAUGUUCUGGGCUGCACGCGCGCUACACUGAUGCGCUCAACGAGUUUAUGACCUUGCCCGGAAGGGUUGGGUAAUCUUUUCAAAACGCAUCGUGAUGGGGAUAGAUUAUUGCAAUUAUUAAUCUUCAACGAGGAAUUCCUAGUAAACGCAAAUCAUCAAUUUGCAUUGAUUACGUCCCUGCCCUUUGUACACACCGCCCGUCGCACCUACCGAUUGAAUGGUCCGGUGAAGCCUCGGGAUUGUGGCCAGUUCACUUUAUUGGGAGUUGGCUGCGAGAACUUGUCUAAACCUUAUCAUUUAGAGGAAGGUGAAGUCGUAACA